GGUAUUGGAUAUCGAAAGUCUAGUUCACAUAUGCAAUUCAUUGCAAAGACUUCAAGUUAAUAGAAAAUUUGAGAAUAGUGAGAGAUUCCUAAAUGUGGGAGAUGGAAGCCAAGUUUCAAUCCUGACUUUAGGAGUCAUUGAGCUUGUUUUCAAAUCUAACAAUGUCAAAUCUAACAAUGUCAUUAUUGUCCAUCUUUCUUGAUGAG
rnacentral:lncRNA from 1 species